rnacentral:rRNA from 1 species
GAGUUUGAUCAUGGCUCAGAACGAACGCUGGCGGCAUGCCUAACACAUGCAAGUCGAACGGGAUCCUGGUUUCGGCCAGGUGAGAGUGGCGGACGGGUGAGUAACGCGUGGGAACCUGCCCAGUGGUGGGGGAUAACUGCGGGAAACUGCAGCUAAUACCGCAUGAGCCCGAGAGGGGAAAGAUUUAUCGCCAUUGGAGGGGCCCGCGUUCGAUUAGGUAGUUGGUGGGGUAACGGCCUACCAAGCCGACGAUCGAUAGCUGGUCUGAGAGGAUGAUCAGCCACACUGGGACUGAGAUACGGCCCAGACUCCUACGGGAGGCAGCAGUGGGGAAUAUUGGACAAUGGGGGCAACCCUGAUCCAGCAAUGCCGCGUGAGUGAUGAAGGCCUUCGGUUGUAAG